UACGUAGGGUGCGAGCGUUGUCCGGAUUUAUUGGGCGUAAAGGGCUCGUAGGUGGUUUGUCGCGUUGGUCGUGUAAUCCUGGGGCUUAACUUUGGGGCUGCGGCUGAUACGGGCAGGCUUGAGUUCGGUUGGGGAGAAUGGAAUACCUGGUGUAGCGGUGAAAUGCGCAGAUAUCAGGGAGAACACCGGUGGCGAAGGCGGGUCUCUGGGCCGAUACUGACGCUGAGGAGCGAAAGCGUGGGGAGCGAACAGG
rnacentral:rRNA from 1 species